AUAAAAAAGAACAGAGUCUGGCACAUAAUAAAUGCUAAAUCAUUGGUUAUUGGUAAAAAAAAAAUGAGCUUGAUUUUAAUCUGAAGAAUUAUAAGAGCACCACUUCCAAACUGGCAUGUUGUCUUGUUUCACUGAGUCAGUCAAGAUGAGCAUGUUCAUUUACUUAAGUGGACAUGUAUUAAUACUAUGCUUAAGAACACAAUCCAGCUAUAUCUGGAUGGACAUAUAUCAUCAGUUAAAAACUAUGAAACUGUAGCCUUUUAUCCAGUUCUCUGACCCCUAUCUUGGAUUAUGGACCACCACAGAGAAUAUGCUGCUCACUCUAAACUCUCUUCCUCUAAUUCUUAAAAACACAUUUAACAAAUCUGUGACAAGGUAUAUAAGAAGGGUACAAAAUAGGUACCAACAGGGGCAGAGGUGAGAAUCCAUGAAUUCUGACUGGAGAAAUAACCACACCUCUUAGAGUAUAAACCCUUUAGCUACGUCUGGAAAGAUGAGCAGAAGUUCCGCAGAAGAAGUCAAAGAGGUUUUGAAGAAGAAAGUUUGUCUUGUGUGUUCAGGUGGUGGUGAGAGACCCAGGGAGUGGGUCUCUCGCUGCAUUUUCACAGACAAAGCAGAAGGAACUGGACUUUCAACUAUUUAAUUCUUCUGAAGUGCCUUCAAGUUCUUCCCAGUCAACAGAGAAAAUAAUACACAAGAUGUGUGAUAAUGAAGACACUAACUUAACAAUAAGAUACAAAAAAUGGGAACGUUGGAUCAUUUGGUUCUAUCCAUCCUUCAGGUCAUGGAAACAAGAUGAGAUCUCUUAUUUGCUUAUUGCCUACAUCCAAAUGUGUUUCAGAAAAUGAUUUCCCUGCCUCCUCUCACACUAAGAUGUGUCAGGCAGCACACACUGAAAAGCUGCUCAGAGCUGGGUUGGAAGAGGCGAAGCAGAGCCAAAACGGGAAUCAAAGCGUCUCACCGAACAAUUUUUUAAAACCAUUUAUUCCUUAAGGCAUCCAGAGAAGGCAAAAUUCCCAGCACAUGUUUCUGCAGUUCCAAACAUUCCCUUAGAUUUGUUUUCCAUUUUUAGUGAAGGUAUUCAAGAUUAGGUUAGGUGGCAACUCGAUCUGCUGAACACUCAUCUGGAAACUGGUCUCGGAAUUCUUUUCUUGAUGGAGAUGAAAUAUCUUGGAAUGAAGUUGAAACAAAGGUUCGAACUGGGGCCACGUUAAGACUUGUUUAUAAGAGCAGAAAGUUAAAUUUCAUAGAGACAAAGUGGCCUGUCUCCCAUCAUACAGGCAGGAGACAGGAUUCAAAAUAAAGUCUAUUUGGCUUCAGUCCUGUGUUUCUGUACAAAAGAAUGAGGCUAAAUCAGCAGAAAUGAAGGGUGAAACAAAAUGGGCACAAGACAAUUAAAAUAUAACCCGUUAUGUAAUGAUGGGAAUCCCGUUGCCUGGAGACCACUGUUGAAGAACAUCAGUGCCACGGCCUCUUGGAGAUUUAAGACAUCUAAUAAGGAGCUGACAGAAAUCAUCAGCUUGCCCCUGAGAAUGUAGCAUUUUUUAAAAGUCACAAUAAAGCACUUGUCUGGAUAUUACUUAUUUCAGAGAGUGAGAGAGACAGUGGGGGAGAAGCCGAGGAAGAGG